rnacentral:rRNA from 1 species
UACAGAGGGGGCAAGCGUUGUUCGGAAUUACUGGGCGUAAAGGGCGCGUAGGCGGCCUUCUAAGUCGAACGUGAAAUCCCCGGGCUCAACCCGGGAACUGCGUCCGAUACUGGGAGGCUUGAAUCCGGGAGAGGGAUGCGGAAUUCCAGGUGUAGCGGUGAAAUGCGCAGAUAUCAGGAGGAACACCGAUGGCGAAGGCAGCACUCUGGGACGUUACUGACGCUGAGACGCGAAAGCGUGGGGAGCAAACAGG